AUUGUACUCCCUCCGUCCGGAAAUACUUGUCCUAAAGAUGAAUGUAUCUAGACUUAUUUUAGUUAUAGAUACAUCUAUUAUAUCCAUUUCUAGAACAAGUAUUUCCGGACGGAGGGAGUACCAU
rnacentral:pre_miRNA from 1 species